rnacentral:rRNA from 1 species
ACCCGGCCCGGACACCGUAAGGAUUGACAGAUUGAGAGCUCUUUCUUGAUUCGGUGGGUGGUGGUGCAUGGCCGUUCUUAGUUGGUGGAGCGAUUUGUCUGGUUAAUUCCGAUAACGAACGAGACUCUGGCCUAUUAACUAGUCCGCCUCCGGUGAAUCGAGGGGCUCUGACUUCUUAGAGGGACUAGCGGCGAUUAGCCGCACGAGAUUGAGCAAUAACAGGUCUGUGAUGCCCUUAGAUGUUCGGGGCCGCACGCGCGCUACACUGAAAGUGUCAAAGGGUCGAGUCCUGGUCUGACAAGGCUGGGCAACCCGUGUCGAACCACUAUCGUGCUAGGGACUGGGGCUUGAAAUUGUUCCCCACGAACGAGGAAUUCCCAGUAAGCGCGAGUCAUCAGCUCGUGUUGAUUACGUCCCUGCCCUUUGUACACACCGCCCGUCGCUACUACCGAUUGAAUGGUUUAGUGAGGCCCUCGGACGGGUCCCGGGCCGGCGGGCUUGCCUGCCGGUCGUCUUGGCGUGCCUGAAAGGCGGUCGAACUUGAUCAUUUAGAGGAAGUAAAAGUCGUAACAAGGUUUCC